AACGAACGCUGGCGGCAGGCUUAACACAUGCAAGUCGAACGCCCGUAGCAAUACGGGAGUGGCGGACGGGUGAGUAACGCGUGGGAACGUGCCCUAAGGUACGGAAUAACUGCGGGAAACUGCAGCUAAUACCGUAUGUGCCCGAAAGGGGAAAGAUUUAUCGCCUUAGGAGCGGCCCGCGCCGGAUUAGCUAGGUGGUGGGGUAACGGCCUACCAAGGCUUCGAUCCGUAGCUGGUCUGAGAGGACGAUCAGCCACACUGGGACUGAGACACGGCCCAGACUCCUACGGGAGGCAGCAGUGGGGAAUCUUGCGCAAUGGGCGAAAGCCUGGCGCAGCCAUGCCGCGUGAACGAUGAAGGCCUUAGGGUUGUAAAGCUCUUUUGCCGGGGACGAUGAUGACGGUACCCGGAGAAUAAGCCCCGGCUAACUUCGUGCCAGCAGCCGCCGUAACAC
rnacentral:rRNA from 1 species